GUGGCUGACAAAACGUGCAUAAUAUUAACGGGCAGCGAUAUAAUUCAAGAGAAACAGCUAUUAAACUUGCUCGGACUGCCGAUUUGAAUAAGGAAAGAGAACGUGGAAGAUUCGCAAGCACUUGGAACUAUUACAUCGUUGGAAACGUGGAAUAUUAUGCUUCCGGGGGCACUCUAUAAAUAAACAUCGGCUAAAUGAAGUAACUGUUCGCAUCUAUAGCUGUGUUCCAUGAAGUGGGUAAUUCGCAAACAGUAGACGCGUUGCUCUCGUAUAUCGCAAACAAAAAGUCGUUUCGAUUGGUAGUCACAGGAAAAAUAAAUGAAACGAAUGGAAAAUGUAACGCGUUGUCAUUAAACUUAGCGAUAGCGAUUAAAAGAAAAGUAAAGUGAUAGUAAAAACGUUGCAAAACGAAACUAAACACAGUUAAACCUCUAGCCGCACGCUAAUCUUAGUUCUCAUUGAACGAGUACGAGCCCCUGUUAAUAGCUCUUAGCGCGUUUUAAUGCUCGAAUCAUGUUUCGUAACAUGCUGCUUUCCUCGCAAUCUUCCAUAGACGCUGGCAAUGGCUGCAAACGAUCGGAGAGAAUCAAUCCGGUUCUUAUAAUGAAACACGUAACAUUUUAAAUCGAAGCGAAAGAAAUGAGGAAAAAUGAGAUUUACUGUUGAAAAAUUUGAAGAAGAUAUGAAGUAAUCGUAGACACACAAUUUUACAUUGCAAUUUUGUUCUUCAAACAUUACAAAUCUUUUUAUUUGCUGGAACGAAAGAAAGAUUGAGACAUAAAGAUUCGAUAAUAAGAUUAAUUUGUUAAGGUCUUUUUUUAACUUAUGUACCUAAUUUGUAGAAAAAUUUCUAUAAAAAGAUUACUAAAUAUAAGAAUAGAAUAAAAUAAUAGAUAUUCACUGAAUGUCUAACGAUCUAAACUAAACAGCAGUUGUACAAUAUUGCUCAAAUAUGAUGUAUGAAUGAAUUUCUUUGUAUCCCACUUCAAGAUACUUUAAACGCACGUGAAUACAUAUUUUGUGCCGUGAUUUAAUGCGAAAACCAAUAUAUUUAUUAUCGUUAGACAGAACACAAUAAACGUAAUAAACGGCAGAAGUGUGUGUAGAUUUAUGACAAAUUCUUCGUUUAAUUUAUUUACUUUUUUCCUCCAUAGUUAGGUAUAGUAGAUUGUAGGAGUUAUUUACGGAAUGUUUUUGAAUAAAGUAGCUGUACGUAAAUAAAGCCAAACUGCUUUGUAUAUCACGAAUAAAGUCAACAUUAAGAUUAUAAAAACUUUAAACAAAAUGUCUGUUAACUUAAUUUCUUACAUGAAAUAACAUAUUUUAUUUAUGUAAAAAUAUAAUAGUACUUCGAUAAAAAUAAUAAAUGAAAGAAGCUAUAUGAAAGGCUUUCUUACAACCUAAUAAUACCGAUAUGUUAUCAACAUAUGUAGGUAUGUAUAUAUGUCUCAGAAGAAAAAAAUAUCUAAUUAUAUUGAUACAUUAAUUGUUUACCGCUAACAUGAUUACCAUCUUAUCGAAAUUUAUGUCUCAUUAAGAUCUUUCUUUUCAAUUUGUAUGCAAAAAUUUAAUUUAUUAAAUAACAAAUACAUCAUAAUGUAAUUUUAACAUUAAUAUGUUACUUAACCAGAUUUUAGCUCUUUCUGUAAUUAGAUAACGUUUUUACAUAACGUUUGAUAUUCUAAUAUAACAAACGAGUUUGCAUAUUCUUUAAACAAUUAAUGAGACAGCAGAUAGCUAUAAAACUAGAUAUACCAUGACUUAUGCAUACAAUAAUUUCCUAUCGAUCAUUUUUUUCCUGCGAAUUAAAAGGCAACGAGUUCAAUAUCAUCGAUACAUUAUGAUACAUUAAGAUAGAUAUGAGAUAACCAGUGAGGUAAUGGAAUUUAAAAGAACAAGUUUUAACAACAUUAAUGCCAAAUGAUAUGAAAAAUGUUCCUGGCAAGAUAACACGAUUCAGCAGAUUCUAUGUAAACAAGAAAAAUAAACGUUCUAAAAACAUGUCGAUGCAUGUGGAAAAUUUGCAUUGAAAUAUUAAAGAUACUUAUUCGAGAAAAAUAAAAAAUACGCUGCAUUUCUUUGAUAUUUCGG